CAGCCGCCACGGGAAUACGAAGGGGGCUAGCGUUGCUCGGAAUUACUGGGCGUAAAGGGCGCGUAGGCGGACAGUUCAGUCGGGGGUGAAAGCCCGGGGCUCAACCUCGGAAUUGCCUUCGAUACUGGCUGUCUUGAGUAUGAGAGAGGUGUGUGGAACUCCGAGUGUAGAGGUGAAAUUCGUAGAUAUUCGGAAGAACACCAGUGGCGAAGGCGACACACUGGCUCAUUACUGACGCUGAGGAGCGAAAGCGUGGGGAGCGAACAGGAUUAGAUACCCGUGUAGUCCCUGUCUCUUAUAC
rnacentral:rRNA from 1 species